CCAACUCGUGACGCAGGCCGUCCGAUACGGACCUAAUCGGAUCUCUGCCUGUUAAGCCACAAAUCCGCAGCGCUCGAGAAGCCUCGCGAACCCGCCUCCCAGGCUCGCCUUCCCCGCCGGCCGCCGGCCGGCGCCCUAUGCCCCUCCGCCUACUGCGCCUCCCUCCGCUUGCAGGAUCCAGCACGAACUGCUGCCCUCCGCCGAGUACCUGCAAUCGAUCCUGACCUGACCUCAUUCUCCCCUGCCCGUGCCACAUAUCGAGCGCAUCUACGGGCGUCGCAGCAUGUGGAGCGAUUGGCGGCGUUGCUCAGACUCCGCACAUGGGUGACUCACGCUCGCCUGCCGUGGUUGGAUCUGGGGGCGACCGCUCCAUUCAGGGCCUCAUCACUCGCGCGCCCAUGGCAGCCACAAAGGUCCCGGAUGGCCCUCCUGUGGAGGACUGAGGAGGACGUGAGGAGGGCAACGCACGAACAGCGUGCGGGGGUGGAGGCCACCGGUACAGGAAGAAGAGGUGGCUAUACUGCUUCUCCGGCUCGCUCAUCAUCGCCUCGUGGGCAGCCCUACUCAACUCUCUCGAUGGACACGGCGACGGCAAACAAGAGGUAACACUAAUGCAAGAAGAUCAAUUGCGCUCUAGCAAAUAGGUGCGCACUGAGAAAAUAUAAGCUACAAGAUAGCCAGGUUGAGUUUCCGGAAGAUUUGGUUGCGGAUCUUCCUCAGACGGAUGUUGAUUGUCAAAUUCGUAUCAAGAUAAGAGCAAUUGCUGAAAGGGGACCUGAUGUUCCUCCUGCAGCAGCAGAGACCGAAUCAUGCUCCUGCAGCCCCUGCAGGGCAAGCAAGCUAAGGGGCAUUUACUCAAUGGAUCAUGCUAAUUAUGUGAAAUGGUAUGGUUGUCGAAAAUUGCCUCUUCUCUUGCUGUCUUUACAUUCUUAGAAUAAUAAUAUAUAUCUAUUUAUGCAGGGCAUCUAGACUUGGUCGAGCAUCACAAUAACCUCGCCGAAGUUGCUCAUUCGGUGAUUAUGAAUUUUAAUUCCCAUCUGAAAUGUUCUACGUUCCUUUCCAUUGUUUUUUUUAAAGACUCCUUGCCAUUAUAUAUAUGCAUGUCUUAUGACUCAGAUGUACAAAUAUACCUUGUAAGAUGCCGUUACCCCAUAGCAUAUGGGGAUCCUUCAAAUUAAAAAAAAAUAUUCAAUACAAAUGUUGCUCAUAUUUCAAAAUUGUAAUAUAAACCCUACUUUCUUAGAAAAAAUACUGUUUUUGUAAUGGUUCAAUCUGCACCAUUUGUUGUCUUUAUAUUUGGUGCCAUUUCUACUAUAUAGUGAAAUGAUAUGUUUACACAGAAUUGCCCGAGAGCAAAACAGUCUCAUACAAAGUUAUCAGACAACUUUCUGAUAUAC